UUCACUUCACCUUUUCUAGCAGCCGUCUCAUACUCUCUCUCCUCUCUCUUACCCUCUCUCUUUCUCUCUUCUCGGAUUCUGCUUCUUUUAAUGGAUAUUGUUUCUCACUUAACUUUCUCUUCCACUUCUCCUUACCUCCAUUUUCUUUCUCCUUGAUCCAUUGAUGAACCUCCCUUCAAUUUCCCCUUUUCUGAUUUUUGAUUUGAUUUGAUUUAUUUUUUUGUGUGUUUUUUCGAUUUGAUUUUGUUAUUUUAUUGUUUGGGGUUGAUUAGGUGAGAAGGGAAGAAGGAUUAAGGAUUUGAGCUCGAUUUUGUAGAAGAGGUUUAAUUUGCGAUUAUCCGGCACCGAUAAGGCAAUUUUGUAGAAAGCCGGCAUCGAUAAGGCGAUUAUCCGCUAGAUCUCUGCAAAGCGGCGGCAGCGAUACUCCUCCUUGGGUUUCGCCUCUUUUCCUCUCCUCUUUUUCUUGCAGUCAUGUGGAUUUUUUUAAAAAAUUUUUGUUUGAUGAAUUAGGGUUUAAGUUAGUUACAGAUCUUGAAUUUCGUCUUUUAAUUUAUCGUAUUUUGGAUGAUUCAUUUCUUGUUGGUGUUUCGAUCUGUUUAUGGAAUUAGUUGAUCGAUGAUUUUAAUCGGUUUUGGCUGAUGGAUUAUUUAAUUUUGGUCAUUAUUUUGUUGUGAAUUGAGGUUUAAUUGUUGCGAAGAAUGAAAUUCUAGUUUGUUUUUCUGAUUUUAAUAUGAAUUGGUUGUUUAUUCCUAAGUAGUUGAUUGUUAAUUUGCAAAAUGUAUUGAAUAAUUAUUUAACUUGAUUUAUACUUGGGAUUCUACAAAAUGACAGUUGGUGUGCCUAUGAAAACGAGCAACAAAUUAGCCCAAUUUACAUUCUAUACUCAAAUAAGCAGUUUAUUUUGCUAGAAUAAUUUGGAUUAUAUACUCAAACAAAUUUUAGGUGAUGAUGGUGGUUUGAAGGCCGUUUAAUUUGGUCGUAGAAAUCAUCGGCCGCUUAACUCAAUGAAGUUUCAUUAGAGAUCUUUGAUAUUCUGUUAUUUUUUUACUUUUCUGAAAUUCAUGUUUUUGAUGCUAUGUAUCUUUAUGUGUCUAUGUUAUUGUGGCUUGUUUCCUUGAUUUCUGUCCUGUUAUCGAUCUAAAUUAUUGACGAGUAAACUGAAUAUAAUGGUGUGGACAGGAGUUUAGAUUAGUUUUUUUAGUACUUGAUUAUUAUAAUUUUAGGGUUUUUACUUGAUUUUAUUUCAGGAUUUGUGCAAUUGAUAUGUUAAGUAUUUUUGUAUCAAGUUCUGCUUGUUAAAUAUUAUAAAGAUAGAUUGCUGAAUAAAUGCCUGCAUUUUAUUGUUGCUGAAUAUAUGCUACAUUUUAAUCCUAUAACGUAUGCUACAUUUUAAUCCUAUAACAUAUGCUACAUUUUAAUCCUAUUAAGUUUGCUGGAUGUAUGCUGCGUUUUAAUCUUAUUAAGAUUGCUGAAUGUAUGCAUCAUUUUAAUCUUAUAGAGAUUGCUGAAUAUAUACAGUGACCCUGAUCGUUUAAUUUAGGUUCAUGUCAUUUGUUGGGUGCUGGUGUUAACGUUAGGGACGUCUGAUCAUUAAGGCUAGUCAUACUCAAAAUGUUCUUGGUAGUUUCCCCCUUUCUUCGAUUUUUGAUUUGACUUGAUGCUUUUUAUUUUUUUAUUUUUUUUCAAUUUUUGCGAUUUUCAUCUUGAUACUUUAUUGUUUGGAGUUGAUUAGGUGAAAAGGGAAGAAAGAUUAGGGAGUUGAGCUCAAUUGUGUAGAAGAAAUUUAAUUCCAUUAUCGCUCAGUGUGAUUCUCUUCGUUACAAGCUUCUUCGUUACAAGCUUCUUCGUUACAAGCUUCUUCGUUACAAGCUUCUCGGAGGUCUUGCUGCCAGAAGAUGGUAAGCUUGCGCCUCUCGUUCAGCGGCCAGCUCGGAAUUCAGUUGAAAAAUUGGAUGCCUUGCUGGUACAUACAUGGUCUUGCGGAUGAUUCCCAGGUGACUUUGUUCUGACCUGAUUGUAUCCUGCUUACACGUUGAUACCUAAUCGUUUUUUCUUAUUUUUUUUUUAAUUUUUUAAAUAUGGUUUUUUCUAUGAUGAUGCAGCUGCGCGCUAUCGUUGCUUAAAUGGUUAUGGUUGUUGCUGCAGUUGGAGCUGCGAUUACUCCCUUCUCUUGGAUGCUGCUGUUUCUCUUUAUUUACUUUUUUUUUUUUUUUUUUACAAUAUUAUUGAGAUGUAAAAUUGGAUUUAGUGCUUGAAAAUAUGUAAAAUUGGAUUUGGUCUUUGGUAAUAUGUAAAGAUUGGAUUUGAUA